GAUGAACGCUGGCGGCGUGCUUAACACAUGCAAGUCGAACGGGAAACCUUUUAAUGAAGCUUCGGCAGAUUUAGCUGGUUUCUAGUGGCGGACGGGUGAGUAACGCGUGGGUAACCUGCCUUAUACAGGGGGAUAACAGUCAGAAAUGACUGCUAAUACCGCAUAAGCGCACAGGACCGCAUGGUCCGGUGUGAAAAACUCCGGUGGUAUAAGAUGGACCCGCGUUGGAUUAGCUUGUUGGUGGGGUAACGGCUCACCAAGGCGACGAUCCAUAGCCGGCCUGGGAGGGUGAACGGCCACAUUGGGACUGGGACACGGCCCAGACUCCUGCGGGAGGCCGCAGUGGGGAAUCUUGCACACUGGGGGAAACCCUGAUGCAGCGACGCCGCGUGAAGGAAGAAGUAUCUCGGUAUGUAAGCUUCUAUCAGCAGGGAAGAUAGUGACGGUACCUGACUAAGAGGCCCCGGCUAACUACGU
rnacentral:rRNA from 1 species